GGGCGCCGCGUGCAGGAUGACACAKUUCSGUGCGUAAACUCCUUUUAUGKGGGAAGAUAAUGACGGUACCAUAUGAAUAAGCACCGGCUAACUCCGUGCCAGCAGCCGCCGUAAUA
rnacentral:rRNA from 1 species